GAUACUUAGAUAAAUCAGAUUUUAUUUUAGCAAUAUUUUUUAUUAUUCUCUGUACUUAAACUAAAAUUAUACUACAGACAAUUCCUCUCAUUUCUGAUAGACUCUGCCAAAAAUAAGUUACUGUUUUCUUAAACCAGAUAAGAAGAAAUUGGAGGAAGGAGUGAGUACUUCAGAUUCAUCUAAAGCAGCUCUACUAUGACAUCACAAUAGUCAGAAGCAGGAUGGGCAGGUCUCCAUUGAUCAAGUGAUCAUAUAGUAAACACCAGAAUCAGUCAUCCCAAAACUGAAUUUGCACUCCUCUGAAGAAUAUCAGUUCUUUUACAGAUUUUGACAUCUGCCUUCAGUUAAAUCUAGACAAAUAUGCGGGAGAAUCAGCAGGAGUCCAUUCUGGCUUCUAGAGAGUGCCCUGGAGCGGUCCACAGGAAGGUGCUGGAAAAGGCAGCCACAAAUAGUCCAGCAUCCAACCUAGUGUCAUGCACACAGUUGGGACUCAGCCACUGUUGCCUGAUUGAUAAUGAAGACAGUCACUGUGGUCAACCCAACAGUAAUUGAACGUUCAUUUUUAAUAAGAGAUGAGGAAACUGAAGCCUGAGAACAACAUGAAUUCUACAAUACAUUUACUGUCAGAAGGCAGCAGUGUCAACGGCCACGACGACACCUGGAACUGAUUCCAAGACUUGUGGUCGCCGUGGGAAUGCUAUUUAUUGUACAUAGUGACUCACAAAUCUGGGUUAUGUGAACUAUAAAAAGCCUGACUCAGAA